rnacentral:rRNA from 1 species
CUGGAUAUGAGCUGCGAUCGCAUGGUCAGUAGCUGGAAAAAUUUUUUGGUCAGGGAUGAGCUCGCGGCCUAUCAGCUUGUUGGUGAGGUAAUGGCUCACCAAGGCGUCGACGGUAGCCGGCCUGAGAGGGUGACCGGCCACACUGGGACUGAGACACGGCCCAGACUCCUACGGGAGGCAGCAGUGGGGAAUAUUGCACAAUGGGCGCAAGCCUGAUGCAGCAACGCCGCGUGAGGGAUGACGGCCUUCGGGUUGUAAACCUCUUUUAGCAGGGAAGAAGCGAAAGUGACGGUACCUGCAGAAAAAGCGCCGGCUAACUACGUGCCAGCAGCCGCGGUAAUACGUAGGGCGCAAGCGUUAUCCGGAAUUAUUGGGCGUAAAGAGCUCGUAGGCGGUUUGUCGCGUCUGCUGUGAAAUCCCGAGGCUCAACCUCGGGUCUGCAGUGGGUACGGGCAGACUAGAGUGCGGUAGGGGAGAUUGGAAUUCCUGGUGUAGCGGUGGAAUGCGCAGAUAUCAGGAGGAACACCGAUGGCGAAGGCAGAUCUCUGGGCCGUAACUGACGCUGAGGAGCGAAAGGGUGGGGAGCAAACAGGCUUAGAUACCCUGGUAGUCCACCCCGUAAACGUUGGGAACUAGUUGUGGGGUCCAUUCCACGGAUUCCGUGACGCUA